CCAGUAGCGCACAAGAUGAAACCGUGUUUGCGUAUCACACAAUCAUUACUACCGUAACAAACAACACUCCGUAUGUAUUUUACACCCACUUCCUAGCUUACCCAAUCUCUCAAAACCCUAGUCUUCCAAGUCGUUGCCCUGAUCCUCAAAUUAAUCGGAAGGGAAAAAAAUGAGCAGCCGAGCGAGCAGGACUCUAUAUGUUGGGAAUCUGCCUGGCGAUAUUCGCGAAAAAGAAGUCGAAGAUUUAUUCUACAAGUAUGGACCUGUUGCACACAUUGAUUUGAAGAUCCCACCAAGACCCCCUGGUUAUGCCUUUGUUGAGUUUGAAGAGGCUCGAGAUGCUGAGGAUGCAAUUCGCGGUCGUGAUGGCUAUGAUUUUGAUGGGCAUCGUUUAAGGGUGGAACUUGCACAUGGUGGGCGUGGACAUUCAUCCUCAGAUCGUCAUAGUAGUUAUAGCGGUGGUCGUGGACGUGGUGGAGCAUCCAGGCGCUCUGAAUAUCGUGUUGUGGUCACUGGGUUGCCUUCUUCUGCUUCAUGGCAAGACCUCAAGGAUCAUAUGCGCCGAGCAGGAGAUGUCUGUUUCUCCCAAGUGUUCCGUGAUGGUAGUGGCACCACGGGAAUUGUUGAUUACACAAACUAUGAAGACAUGAAAUAUGCGAUUAAGAAGAUUGAUGACUCUGAGUUUCGAAAUGCAUUUUCUCAGGCAUAUGUUCGUGUGAGGGAAUAUGAUUCCAAACGGGACUCAUCUAGGAGCCCUGGCCGUGAUCGAUCUCAUUCUAGAGGCCGCAAUGAUAGUCGCAGUCGCAGUUUAAGUCGGAGCAGGAGCCGCAGCAAGUCUCCUAAAAACAAAUCCUCACGUCGGUCAUCUGCAAGGUCUCCUCCUAGGUCUGUUUCUCGGUCUCGCUCUGGGUCAAGGCCACGCUCUCUAUCAAGUGACAUGGGGAUUGGAUAUUAGGAUCUUGAUGGGAUAUGGUUCAGUUCCUGCAUCUUCUUUUUUUGGUUGUAGAGAUUGGGAACAAAGGAGAUUAUGCAUUGCAAUAUUAAGGCUGGAUUUCAGUGAACUAACUGCCAGUGGAUCUGGAAGUCUGGUCAGCAUUGAGCAGUAGAAACUGUCAUUAUCUUUUUCUACUCCAACCAUUGCCAAGCUAUUAGGACCUGCUGGCUGAACUCAUAGUGGAUUUCCUGUACGGCAGGGAAGCAUGCUUCUGUCCUGUGGGAUGGUGGCUUCAAACACAUUAUGAUUAUUUUAUUAAUGUAUAUUAUUUUAUUAGGUAUUUUAUUUAGGUCUGAUUUUUAUGAAAUGGUGCCUGAUUUUUUUUUCCCUUUUGUUUUCACUUGAAUUACUAAAGUUUAUGGCUUUUCAUAUGAUCCUUUAUGAAUGUGGUAACUCUGACGUGGAAGAGGCAUCAAGGCUCUUGGAUGAGAGUUGUUAAAAGGAACGUGUGGAUUUUAAAUUUGGGUUGUUUCUGGAACUUUUGCAGAUCCCGUUCAAGAUCAAGAUCUCCACUUUCAUCUCAUCAGAAGCGCAGUAGCAAAAGCCCAAAAAAGCCAAGUGUUAGCAGGAGCCCCAGCAGAA